ACGGAUUUUAAACGCGUGAUAAUACCAGUUGUAAAGGUAAUGCGUCUUGGAUGACCACUUCACCGAAAACGCAUCUGGCGUACGUACAUCGCACUUAACGUUACGAUCCGGAGAACGCUUUCGUCAUUACGGUCCAACUUUCUGUUUCGAAAAAGGCAGGAGGAAAAGCGCAUUAUAGAUUGUCUAGAUUCAUUACGCAGCGGUUCAUACGCAACGCAAAGGAGAGGGAGGAAGAAAGCUUAGGAAAAAAAGAGAGGGAAAGGAGCUGUAAACCGGACAAGAGUGAAUCUGUGGGAAGUGAAUUUGAAGAUCUGAGUCAUCAUAUCCUGCCAAGCAACAUGGAGCCAGGAGAAGCAGCAGCAGGAGAACAAAGGGCAACUCCACAAUCACCACUAAAAAUAACAACAGCACUGACAGUUGUAACAGCUGCAGUAGUAGUAGGUAAUGCAGUAACAUCAACAAUAGCUGUUGUAGCAGUAGGAGCAGCAGUAGGAGCAUCAGCAGGAGCAGCAGCUGGUAUUGGCAUUUUACAAUCACUAACAGGAGCAGUAGCAGUAACAGCAGUAACAGGAGGCCUAGCAGGAACAACAGCAGCAAUAUUGCAAUCAUUGUUAGGUGCGCAAUCACUAACAGGAUCAGCAGUAACUGGAGCAUUGGCAGGAGCUGCAAUAGUAACAGUAGCAAGAACACAAUUACAAUGGGCAAUAGAAACAAUUCAGUGGGUAACAGACACCAUACAAUGGGUGGUAAACGUUGUGCAAAAUAUAAAAGCAGCAGUACCUGCAUCAAAAGUAAUCAGAGGAUCAGGAUUAGCAGCAGCCAUAUUAAAUCAAGUACUGGCAGCAGUAGAAUCUGGUACAGAAUCAUCUGGACCAGGAACAUCUAGACCAGCAUCAUCUGGAUCAAGAGUACCUCGAUCAGCAGUAUCAGGCCCAACAUUAUUUGAACUAGGACCCUCAGGACCAGGAGCAUCUGGACAAGCAGUAUCAAGUCCAGCAUCAUCUGGACCAGGAACUUCAGGAUCAGGAGCA